rnacentral:rRNA from 1 species
AGAGUUUGAUCAUGGCUCAGAGCGAACGCUGGCGGCAGGCCUAACACAUGCAAGUCGAACGAACUCUUCGGAGUUAGUGGCGGACGGGUGAGUAACACGUGGGAACGUGCCUUUAGGUUCGGAAUAACUCAGGGAAACUUGUGCUAAUACCGAAUGUGCCCUUCGGGGGAAAGAUUUAUCGCCUUUAGAGCGGCCCGCGUCUGAUUAGCUAGUUGGUGAGGUAAAAGGCUCACCAAGGCGACGAUCAGUAGCUGGUCUGAGAGGAUGAUCAGCCACAUUGGGACUGAGACACGGCCCAAACUCCUACGGGAGGCAGCAGUGGGGAAUCUUGCGCAAUGGGCGAAAGCCUGACGCAGCCAUGCCGCGUGAAUGAUGAAGGUCUUAGGAUUGUAAAAUUCUUUCACCGGGGACGAUAAUGACGGUACCCGGAGAAGAAGCCCCGGCUAACUUCGUG